GAUGAACGCUGGCGGCGUGCCUAAUACAUGCAAGUCGAGCGAACGGACGCGACGCUUGCUUCUCUGUCGUUUGCGGCGGACGGGUGAAUCACCCGUGGAUACCCUACCUAUAAGACUGGGAUAACUUCGGGACACCGGAGCUUAUACCGUAUGAUCUUUUGAACCGCAUGGUUCGAAAGUGAAAGACGGUCUUUCUGUCUCUUAUCGAUGGAUCCGCGCUGCUUUAGCUAGUUGGUAAGUUAACGGCUUACCAAGGCAACGAUGCAUAGCCGACGUGAGAGGGUGAUCGGCCACACGGGAACGGAGACACGGACCAGGGGACUGCGGGACGCAGCAGUCUGGAACCGUCCGCAAUGGGCGGAAGCCUUACGGAGCAACGCCGCGUGAGAGAUGAAGGUCUUCGGAUCGUAAAACUCUGUUAUGAGGGGAGAACAGAUGUGUAAGGAACUGUGCACAGCUUGACGGUACCUAAUCAGAAAGCCACGGCUAACUACGUG
rnacentral:rRNA from 1 species